rnacentral:rRNA from 1 species
AGCGUGAGCCCUGCCAGUCUUCGGGCCUCGGCCUGCGCACGGCCCUGGUGCCGCGCCGGUGAGACCCAGCUAGGUGGAUUGCGGCACCGCGGGCGGUGGAGAGGCACGAGCCAAAAGCCGGUCGGCGCGGAGCUGUGCGGCGCGCGCGGCUAGGGCGCCCUCCGGUGCAAGGCGCGGGCCCGCGAAGGGGCAGGCACGCGGACGUGCCUGCGCCCGCGGGUCCCCGCUCCCCCAAGUGCUGCGGGUCCGUCCGCACGGGAGCCGGCUCACCGGAGCCCGCGUUGAACGCAAGUUUCUUAACUACCAAGCGCCCUAAGACGUUAAGUGUGGUUCAUAGCGUAAAGCGAUGCAAGAAGUAGCUACGUUCUCGGCUCUAUAGGCAACGGCUCUCAGCAAGUCUGAGCUCGCCUCUAGCGCGCGCAGGGGGCGGAGGGCAGGGCGAGGCUCCCCCUGGCCUCCGCGCCCCGCUGCUAAGGGAGGUGCGUCGAGGAACCGUGCUAGGCACGACUGUCCCAAAAGGGCAGCCAUGCUGCGCUCUGCCGCCACGCAGGCGCGGCUGCGCUGCGAGAGCAUGCGUCACUGACAAGCGCCCAGCAAGAAGGCAAGCCAGAGCUGUUAC